rnacentral:rRNA from 1 species
AGCAGCCGCGGUAAUUCCAGCUCCAAUAGCGUAUAUUAAAGUUGUUGCAGUUAAAAAGCUCGUAGUUGAAUUUCGGGAUCAAGGAAUCGGUCAUGCCUCGGUAUGUACUGGUUUUAUUGGUUCUCACCUUCUAAAGAACCAUAAUGUCAUUCAUUUGAUGUUAUGGGGAAUUAGGACUGUUACCUUGAAAAAAUUAGAGUGUUUAAAGCAGGCUUACGCUUGAAUACAUUAGCAUGGAAUAAUGAAAUAGGACAUCAGAUUCUAUUUUGUUGGUUUCUAGGAUCGAUGUAAUGAUUAAUAGGGAUAGUUGGGGGCAUUAGUAUUCAAUUGUCAGAGGUGAAAUUCUUGGAUUUAUUGAAGACUAACUACUGCGAAAGCAUUUGCCUAAGGAUGUUUUCAUUUAAUCAAGAACGAAAGUUAGGGGAUCGGAAGACGAUCAGAUACCGUCGUAGUCUUAACCAUAAACUAUAGCCGACUAGGGAUCGGAUGAUGUUAAUUUAUAAUGACUCAUUC